AUAAUGAAUCUUUGCUAUUUAUUCUUCUUUUUUUUUAUAUCUUUCUCUUUUUGGAAUUUGUGGAGAUGGAUUUAAGAUUGUAGAUUGUAAUAGUUAUAUAUGCGAGAUUUAAAAUUACGAAAGACACUAAAUUACGCUAUUUUUUUCAUUUGCAAGUUUAAUUUCUACAAAAAGGGUGCGAAAGUGUAAACAAAACUAUAUACAUAUUUAUGACAGAUCGGACUAUGACGGAUCGAGAUUCAGAUGUGCCAUUUGUAAUGCAAAAUAAAAUCGAAUUAAUUUUAAUGCAAAUCAAACUCUAUAUAGCAUUAUCCGCGACUCGCGCAUAAAACUGCACUCCCUGCAUCGGGCGAGUUCAAUAACGAGUUUCGUUCAAUUAAUCAGCUGCUUCGAAAAAAUUUUCUCGCGCUAAUUCUCGGGGAGGUUUAUACCGUGAAAUAAUUUCAGAUAAUGAUAUACGAUGUCGUGCACGGAAAAAGUAUACUCCAAGUCGGUCAGAAUUAGUACUUUUAUUAUAUUUCAGUAUUAAUUUCUUUGAAAAAUAAACUAAUAGAAAACCUAUUUCGACAACAGUAAAUAAAUUGUGGAGAAAAAUUGAAAGCGUUUUCUCUGAGAAAAUUAAUUGCAAUAAGAAAAAUAUUGGAAAUAAAUAAAAGUAUAAAUAUAAAAAUAAUGACUGUACAGAAUCCGAAGAAUCCCUCGUAAAAUAAAUUCAUUUAUUAUAUAUACGCGAUAUAUUACUUAAUAUCUUAAUUCGAGAAAUUCGUCAUAUCACACGAGUCCGUGCGUGACAUCGAAAAUAACAGCUCGAUGCAAUAGUCAAAGGUCACGUUUGAAAGGAUUGGGGGGAAGAAGAGUAUUCUUCUAGGAUGAGCCAAGUGGUAACCCUGGGCUUUUUCGCAACCCCGAUAAAGAAUAGCGGGACCAACCCUGGUGCCGCUGGCGCGACACACAAUUCUCUGGCGGUGUGUUUCGAGGUUACAAGAACGAGCGACGAAUGGCUGCGUGUGUGUACAUGUGUGUGUGGCCCAGCGCCACGCAGCUUGGCACGGCUUUUUCGGCCACGGAGAUUGCAUAAUCGCGGCCCCAUCGUGUGUAAGCGCGCAACGUGUCGCGUCCGACGUUAGUCGCGUCUAGCUCGCCUCUCGCACUAGUCUCUCUCUCUCUCUCUCUCUCUCUCUCUCUCGCCGCGUCUUUUCUUUUUUUCCACCUUUUCGAGCUCUGCUCCCUCGGCUACUUAUAGUUGCUAGUGCCAUUGAGAACAAAGCGUCGACAAAAGUUCGUCCUGAGAUCGUUUAUAUGUCGCGGCCGCGAGAGAUCAACCUUCUUUAAAACCCCGAACAGUAAUCGCGUCUUGAGGGAAGUUGAAAUUUUCGUUUUAAUCGUAUCUUAUUGUUCAUUCUCUAAAAACGUGUGAUACCCGAAGAGAAUUUUCUCGUAGAAUUUACCCGGAAAAUUAUGCUAUUCGUGUAAGAAUUUCUCUGAUUAAUAUUUACCACGAUAAAAAAUAUCGAUAUGUACGUAGUCAAAUUAAUCGAACAUAUUUUAUUUCUUCAGAGAUACUCUUAUUGUCUCAUCACGAUUAUCAUGAUUUUCCGGUAAAUUUUAAGAGAAAAUUCUGUGUAACAAUUGGUACAAUUCAUAUAUCGCGAACUAAAAAAAUCGAUCGGUCUACUUGGUAUUUUCUCGAUCGCUAAAUCCUCGGGAGGGAAAAAAACAGAUGUGAUGUGCAACGUCAUUAGCGUUAUUUACGACCUCGCGAGAUGGAUCCGUGGAAGGCACGACGUGCAUCGCGAUGGCACGGCAGAGAAUCGAUCGUUAAGCUCGUUUAAACGGCAAAGUGGUACAAUUACGCCGAAGCGAGAGCGUCACCUCGGAUUUCCCAUCACGUGCGCAUCCCAUCGUCGCGGUUUGUGUUUCUCGCUUCCUUCUCUCCCAGCAUCCUCGACCCUCUCGUCCUAUUUCAAUCCUUUCCAAUUCGUUAGAACCGUAAAGAAGCUUCCGCGACACCCGCGAAUCAUCGCUUUUUUUCCUUCUAACGUUAAGCUAAUUAACUCCUUCGCAGUGUAUGUAGCAUAUAUGCACAGAAAAAAGACCAGUGCAACCAGUGUGUAAUGUACAUAUAUUAUAUAUAUGCACACCUAAAACAAAUAGAUUUAUCCUUUUGAGAUUUGUAUGAAACUCGAUGUGCUAUUUUGGUUUUUAAAUUUCGCUGAAUUCUCGAAUAGAUCAGAAUUUCAAGAUGGCGGUUCAAAAUUUGAAGUCGCUACAUCGAAAUAUAUCUGAAUUACCAAAAUGGCAGAUCAAACUUUGCUGAAAAGAGUCACCUAAAACUAAUAAUUUAUCGAAACUUUAUCAAAAAUAUAUUAAUAUAUAUCAAAUUUUAGAUCCGCCAUUUUGAAUUUUGAAAUUCUGGUGCCAUAUUCGGAUUCAGCGAUCUAAGAAACUUGUUCUCACACGCACUGGUAUACCAUAAAACUCUCAUUUUCGCCACACUGUGAAGGAGUUAAGUGCGCGAUAGCGCGUGAAAGCAAUAAGUGUUUGCUCGUUCGAAUAUUCUCUCAUCGUGUACGAUUUCGUCGCGCGCUCGUUCUGCAUUUGCCCAUUCGAUCGAUAUACAUAUAAAGAUAUGAUUCAUAAUCUCCGCGGCAAUUAUGCAGUCUAAAUUUACAUUCCAGAUCAAUCGCACUUGUUUCAAUUCAAUUCUGAAGCAAUUCCGAGAUUCCUUUGCAAGAUAUCGGGCACCAGUGUAGAAGCUUUGAAAUAUUUGAAUAAUGUACAUAAAAUUUGUGAAUGAUAUAUCGAAUCUCCUUUGGCACGCGCCCGUUGGACAGAGAGCGAAGAAACAGUGGCAUAUUCAGCUGGCUGGCAACGUUUUCUACUUCGCUGGACUAGCCUUUUGCCGCUACUGCCGCGGACUACUGAGCUUCUGCUCUAGGCCGAGUUUAGUCGCGAGCAGAGGCAGCUCUAGUCGUCGCUCAGCUGUCGCGCGAAUCGCCCGCACGCGCGUGAUAUACACGUAACAGACAUAUAUCGCUCUCGCUUUGUUUGUCGCACGUCAUCGCAAAUUACUUCGAUAUUAUCGAGGAAACGAUUUCGCUCGUUCGCGUAACACGCGAAUAUACAAAUUACGUCGUGAGAAGUUGAGAUUAUCUCGUUGAAUUUAUUUCUAAUUAUUCCCAUGCUUCUCAUCUAUAUACCGGACAAGAUUCUUCUCUUCGUCGUUUUGUCUUCGUCAUUAUAUAUUCCAAGCGUUCGCCGUCUCGCUUCCCGGAGAUCGAUUUCCAUUCCGCGAGGAGAUUAUUUAUUCGGCGCGAUACGCUCGCAACAAUGCGCGGUCCAAGGUCGGCGAUUGUGUAACGUCACCGUUCCGGAGCAGAUCGCGAUCGCUUCUUACACUUUAUCUAAAUAUAACGAAGAGAUACUUGAACAGUAGUCUACGAUCGUCAGCGAGAGAGAUGACUUGAGAAUAAUCUCGAUAAUCAUUUCGCGAGGAUCGAGGGGGAUAAAUAAACACGAAGUAAGAAAAUGUUUCUCCGAUCUAAGGAAUUAUCGCAAUGAAGCAUCCGUAACUCGCUUCUCGGGACGCAUCGGUGGCGUCUAUGAAAGGAUUAGCUGUCUAAGAGCAUUGAAAAAAAAAAGGAGAAGCGCCAGUGCGCGUUAACACGAAGACGAAGACGACGAAACGACGCGUCCCGACGCCGGAGCGUCGCCGGGGACAGUGACUGCUAUUAUUAGCGACGUCGUCCUCUUCUCAUUUCGCGCUUCGAGAGGCAAAAUAGCAUCAGCUGACAUCCUUCUGGAAGAUACGCCCGAGAAUUCUUUCGCCUCUUCCGUUUUUUCGGAGGCGAAUUCGGGGAGUAGCCGAUAAUUAUAUAGUCGCGAAUGAUUAAUUAAGGAUAAACCAAGAACUAAGAGAGCCUGAGAGGACGUGCGAAUAAUUUUAAGUUUAUCGAUCAAAUUAAUUGGACGUUUUUUUAACGUUGCUUGAUUGAACGAAUUUAAUUAUACAAUUUUUAUAAUAUAAAUAUUACAACGUUAGCUGAUGUAAAAUAGACGACAUGCUGUAAAAAUAUGAAUAUUAAUAUUUCUUCCUCUUUUCGAACUUGAAUUACACGUCGAGAGGAGUAAUCGCGUGACUCGAGUUCCGUCGUUACAUAAGCGUUUACAUUUUUGUUUAACACGCGCGCAAUGAAUUGCGAUCAGCGGCGAGUUAAAUAUCAUCGUGCAGCGAGACGCUUCUCUCCGUUGAAGCGGUUUAAAAGACACUGACGUUAUUAUUGUGCGAGUUCGUUGCGAGGGAGAGAAAAGUCGAAAAGAAAGGGAGCGAGAAUCGAGGGUAAAUGAGAGAGCACGACUGCAAAGAUUAACCGAGUAAAGAGAGCACGAGAGCGGAAACGAGCCAAUACGAGAUCGCAGGGCAGUUGGGGCUCGUGCCAGAUGCGCGUUUACACGGGCCCUGAAUACUGUAAAUGCACUAUCUGGUACGACAUCUCUUCUGUCGCCGUCAUCGACGAUAUCAUACGGGUUUGAUACGCCCGACUACGACUUUAUAGCGCCGUAGAUUAAGUUCCAACCGCGGCAAAAAUUCGGCAUCCGUAUACAUAUAUAUAUUUAUCACGAGGGGAUAUCGAGGCCGAGAAAAGCGCGAAGCUUUUCUGAAGCUUCGAAAUCCUUACAUAUGCUGUGUACGUAUAUUAAUAUAUCAUGCCAUGCAAUAAUAUACAAUUUUUACGUACUCGAAAAAAUGCUGCGUUUCUUUCGAUGUAAGAAAUUUUGGUGGAACUGUGUCGUGUAUUUAGAGUAGCGGAACAUUUGUUUGAAAAUAAAAUUAUUUUGUUUUUAAUCAAAAAAAAUUAUACUCGAUUUUAAAACAUCGAAAAUUGAAAGAUUUUCAGGCGAACUGUUGAAAUAUGCUUUCUUACAGUCUAAUUGUAUUUUUCAUCUCUGCUAAUUGUAAGACAUUUUUAGCCCCUUUUCAACGAGAAUAAUAUGUAUAAUAUCUAUAUUCAGAGUUCUCUCUCAAACUCGUUAGAAGAAAAGAGCAUGAGAAAGUAUUACACUAUCCUUUCCUCUUAUUCGAGUUACAAUUCUAAUUAUUAUUAUAAUUAUAAUUAUAAUUAAAUGCACAACGAAUAAAACAGCGAAAUGCUAUAAUAUUACAAGAACUAGAUUAUUAAUAGCGGUCCUUUGGAAGCAAAUGUUAAUUAAAUUAUAAUCUUCCUAUACGUCCAAAAGUUUUAAUUGGAAUAAUUGCGUCGGAAAUAUUCGUUCGGGAUCACUGGCUUAAAAUUUAAAGCAAUAAUUUACGGCAAUAACGUUUGACAUUUACGUUUGCGUGGAUUUGGGCUUCAAACGAUCGACACAAUUCGAGUUUCCCGUAAUUAGUAUAAAACAUCGAUAUCUAUAAUAGAAAGUAAUUCUAUACACACACUAUACAUGAGAAAUCUGUUUCAAAUUCUACAAACAGUAUGUACGUAUGUGUGCCGCAAUAAAUAAAUCCCGCUGUGAAAAAAAUUGCUCUCUACCUCCCUUUUCUUCUCUUUCAAUUGUAAAACAUGUCGUAUGUGGGAGGCAGAGAAAGGGGUGCAUUCAAGCGACCGAACGCGCAUGUUGCGUUUUUUUUUUUUUUUUUUUUUUUCCUCGAUAUUAUCGACAAUGAUGACUCCCUGUGAAUUGCUGCGUAAUGGCGUUCGAUCGUCCAUGACGAAGGAUUUGUUAACGGAAGAGUGCGUGCGUUUUGUUGCAGCGCCUACAUUCGGUUCAUGCUUUACAUAACAAUUUUAUACCUACACAUACAUACAUACAUACAUGCACACCGCGUAUAGGAUCCUAGGGUGUAUUGUAUCACGAAUGACAAUAAAAAUCAUCCAAUGCGUUCUUCAUUUAA